GAUGAACGCUAGCUACAGGCUUAACACAUGCAAGUCGAGGGGUAACGAGAGGAAAGCUUGCUUUCCUUGUCGACGACCGGCGCACGGGUGAGUAACGCGUAUCCAACCUGCCCCCAACUAAGGAAUAACCUUGCGAAAGUAAGCCUAAUACCUUAUAAUUUCCUCAGAUGACAUCUGACGAGGAAUAAAGAUUUAUCGGUUGUGGAUGGGGAUGCGUCUGAUUAGCUUGUUGGCGGGGUAACGGCCCACCAAGGCAACGAUCAGUAGGGGUUCUGAGAGGAAGGUCACCCACAUUGGAACUGGGACACGGUCCAAACUCCUACGGGAGGCAGCAGUGAGGAAUAUUGGUCAAUGGGCGGAAGCCUGAACCAGCCAAGUAGCGUGCAGGAUGACGGCCCUAUGGGUUGUAAACUGCUUUUAUACAGGAAUAAAGUUAGCCACGUGUGGUUAUUUGUAGGUACUGUAUGAAUAAGGACCGGCUAAUUCCGUGCCAGCCGCCGCCGUAA
rnacentral:rRNA from 1 species